rnacentral:rRNA from 1 species
AUUGAACGCUGGCGGCAUGCUUUACACAUGCAAGUCGAACGGCAGCGCGGGCUUCGGCCUGGCGGCGAGUGGCGAACGGGUGAGUAAUGCAUCGGAACGUGCCCAGUAGUGGGGGAUAGCCCGGCGAAAGCCGGAUUAAUACCGCAUACGACCUGAGGGUGAAAGCGGGGGACCGAAAGGCCUCGCGCUAUUGGAGCGGCCGAUGUCGGAUUAGCUAGUUGGUGGGGUAAAGGCUUACCAAGGCGACGAUCCGUAGCUGGUCUGAGAGGACGACCAGCCACACUGGGACUGAGACACGGACCAGACUCCUACGAGAGGCAGCAGUGGGGAAUUUUGGACAAUGGGGGCAACCCUGAUCCAGCCAUGCCGCGUGCGGGAAGAAGGCCUUCGGGUUGUAAACCGCUUUUGUUCGGGAAGAAAUCCUCUGGGCUAAUACCCCGGGGGGAUGACGGUACCGGAAGAAUAAGCACCGGCUAACUACGUG